AGGCCAGCGGAAGAGGAAGUUCGGGCUCCCAGCUUGGCCCCGAGGCAGGUGAAGCGCAGGGCGGGGAGUGGGUUUACACUGUCGGAGGCAUCCGACAAAAUCCGGUGGAGAUGCGGCCAACUUCUCCAUCGUGCAGUCGGGCAGGGGGCUGACGAACCAGUGCAGCCGAGGAAACAGCAGUGAGUGGACAAUGACCGCAGCCGCCAAGGCCCUUUGCACUUGCUGGUACUACUUCCUGAUGUGCUCUUCAUCCCGAUCAUUGCUUGUCAUGUUCCCUCAUUUUAUUCAGAUGAGCACAUGCUGAGUCCCCACUCCACGGAGCCCGCAUGAACCUCUGGACCUCUGACCGACCUGCCCACUUCUUUCCUAAAUUUUGACUUCUGAAAAGAUCAACACAGCUAAACCACUUCAACCUGGCAGGGAGAGGCCCCUGCCUUGGCAUAUCCCUACCCACUGGAGCCCUGACUUAGCAGAAGUUCUCAUCAUGGGAGAUCCAGGAAAGUCUCUGAAAGAAGAUGCCGAGGUUCCCAGGAACACCUUUCCUGAGUCUGUGCUAUGACUAGGGCAUCUUUGUUUUAUGCACCUACGUGAAGCAGACAUUUUUGGCAAUGCCUUUAUUCUACAGAACGCCAGCUAGGUCUAGGGCUAAGAAAAGCACCAUGUUUAUAUGCCCACCAAUUUUCUCAAUCAUGAGCAAAUUAUUUGCUCCUCGCCCCGUGAAAAAAUGAACUUUCUCUUUUGAGAGUUUGGAGAAAAUAAAAAAGCGAAAUUAACCAGUCAAAGAGAGCUUGGACAAUAAAGUGAACAAAGACAUUUGCUUUCCAAAAGCGUGUUUAAAUAUUUUAUCUAGAAAAAUCUUCCCAAAGUUAUAAAUAGCGCCUAGCUACGAGUUCCAGCAUCAACCUCGGAGAAGUGCUUCCAGCUUUAUGACUGAGUUUGUGUGCCUGUGGCCAAAUGGAUUUGGAAUGGAAACUUUUUUUUUUUUGUCAUCUGGCUUAUUGUUGUUUCCUUCUGUGGCCACAGUGUUUGUCUGGGCCAUGGGAUUACUCGAUCAAUCAAAUAUUUAUUGAGUAACCAGACGACCAAUGGAAAAACUAGGCUUGGAUCAUAUUGUACAGAUCAUACUAUGUGUCUUAAAGUCUUAAGGCAGUUGUGCUCACUAAUGGUCAUCUCUUUUUUUGGGAGCUUAGAAAAGGAUCCAUUUGGAAAAAGAGAAGUCUCCAUGCAGAAGCAAAUACCUUCCUCUGACUUUUGGCAAACAAAAUAUUCGCAAAUUCCAUCGCCCUGUUCUAAUAUCUAUUUAUAAAUGUUUCUCUCCAUUCUAGAGGUUUUCUCUGUAAUAUGUGCACCAUGCCAAUGACAUCCUUUAAAGCUGGAAGUUUUCAGAA